GACGUAGGGGGCCAGCGUUGUUCGGAAUUACUGGGUGUAAAGGGUUCGUAGGCGGUGUGGCAAGUCGGGAGUGAAAUUUCUGGGCUUAACCCAGAGGCUGCUUCCGAAACUGCUGUGCUCGAGUGUGGGAGAGGCGCGUGGAAUUGCAGGUGUAGCGGUGAAAUGCGUAGAUAUCAGGAGGAACACCAAUGGCGAAGGCAGCUCGCUGGGACGUGACUGACGCUGAGACGCGAAAGCGUGGGGAGCAAACAGG
rnacentral:rRNA from 1 species